rnacentral:lncRNA from 1 species
AUGUUCGACAGCUUACUCCCCCCACACCCGGGAGUAGGCAUACUCUCCCCCCCCGCCCCCCCGCACGUGUGGCAGUGUAUCCUCUCACCACGCACGCAAUGGCGUACGUCCACCCCCUGCACGCACAACUGUGUAGGCAUACCCUCUCCCCCUUCCCCGCAUGUGCGACAGUGUACCCCCUACACUCCCGCAUGCGCAACGGCGUACGUACGCUCUCUUGUGCGAUGGCGUAUUCACGUCAUCUCUCCUCCUGGACUUACAUCACAGAGAGGAUGGAGAUUUCCUUCACUGGCUGGGACAACAGCGCCCCUGCAGAGAUGACCUCAAGUCCCCAAACUGAUCUGGACCUCACGGGCCAAAGGAACCUAAGAAAUGGGUAUGUUGGGCACACAAUGAAUGUAUCCUACAUCUGCAAUUUUAAGUAGUGUGUGUUUACAGUAACUUCCAACUUAUGUAUUCUACCGCCCCUCCACUUGGCUCAAAAGUAUGCGGGCAUGAUUUUCCACUGUCCAUAUUCUCUACAGAUAAUAAUAGGAGUCAUUACUUCUGGUGGAAUGCUCUCCAGAGUCCAGAAGCAGUGCUUGAGACAUACUUAUGGGUCCCUUCCCUUUCUCCAAGCCUCCUUUAAAAGGGAAACUCCCAACAGAAACGCUCUGUAAUUUGCCAGGGGCCCAGCCCAAAGUGUUUUAAACUUUACAUUUUUUCUUGCUUGAGUUAGCACCGAAAUACAAUCAUUUUCAUUACGAUAAAGUAUGGCAGUAACUGCAAUAGAAUCUAUGAUGAGGAUUUUUUUGUGGAAGUCUUUGCAACUUUUUAAUGUUCGUGUUUCCAAAGAGACACCCUAAGCUUCUCAGCAUAAUUUUGCAUAUGAAACCUAAUUACCAGUAGCAAGUGAGUGAUUUCAUUGCUCUAUUGCAUUAUCUAUAGCCUUCUCACAACUAUCCAAAUAUGAAUGUCAUGGGUUCUUUAUAUAAUACGAUUUUGUGAUGUAGUUGAUAUUUCAGUGGGCUAUGAACAGAAAUCUUAUUAUUGAUCGAUGUAAUUGAGAUGCAGCACGAAUUCCAGCAUUUAAAAAAUGUUUAAACUUUAUAUUGAAAUAGAUAAUUGGAAAGUACAUAAAUCCUAAGUAUAUAUCUCAUCAGAUUUUAAUAGACACAUCCCCAGCCAACUUUUAUUUUUAAUUGGUU